AGCUCCAAUAGCGUAUACUAAAGUUGUUGCAGUUAAAAAGCUCGUAGUUGAAUUUCUGGUCGUGGCGAUCGGUCCGCCCCUCACGGGGUGUGCACCUGGUCUCUACGUCCAUCCUCGGGGAGAGCACGUCUGGCAUUCAGUUGUCGGGUGUGGGAUCCUCGUCAUUUACUGUGAGCAAAAUAGAGUGUUCAAAGCAGGCUUAGGCCGUUGAAUACAUUAGCAUGGAAUAAUAAGAUAGGACCUUGGUCUAUUUUGUUGGUUUGCAUUCCAAGGUAAUGAUUAAUAGGGAUAGUUGGGGGUAUUCGUAUUCAAUUGUCAGAGGUGAAAUUCUUGGAUUUAUGGAAGACGAACUACUGCGAAAGCAUUUACCAAGGAUGUUUUCAUUA
rnacentral:rRNA from 1 species